rnacentral:rRNA from 1 species
GGGUGCUCGAGUGGCGAACGGGUGAGUAACACGUGAGUAACCUGCCCUUGACUUUGGGAUAACUUCAGGAAACUGGGGCUAAUACCGGAUAGGAGCUCCUGCUGCAUGGUGGGGGUUGGAAAGUUUCGGCGGUUGGGGAUGGACUCGCGGCUUAUCAGCUUGUUGGUGGGGUAGUGGCUUACCAAGGCUUUGACGGGUAGCCGGCCUGAGAGGGUGACCGGCCACAUUGGGACUGAGGUACGGCCCAG